CAGCGCCGGCACAGACGCCGAGGCCGUGGUCACCCUUCCGGUGACCACGGCCUCGGUGUCUGUCGCUGUGC
rnacentral:pre_miRNA from 1 species